rfam:Pseudanabaena biceps PCC 7429 scaffold_00121, whole genome shotgun sequence.
GGGUGGAUAGUUCAACUGGUAGAACGCACUUUUGCCCGUAAGGGACGCAGACUCAGGGUUAUCGCUUCUAACGAUCUCACCCCUUUGUCGCGAGAUGUGGGUUCGAGUCCCAUUCCACCCC